GUCCAUGCCGUAAACGAUGAAGACUGGCUGUUGGUUACCUACGGGUAAUUAGUAGCGAAGCUAACGCGUUAAGUCUUCCGCCUGGGGAGUACGGCCGCAAGGUUAAAACUCAAAGGAAUUGACGGGGCCCGCACAAGCGGUGGAGCAUGUGGUUUAAUUCGACGCAACGCGAAGAACCUUACCUACCCUUGACAUCCUCGGAACCUGCUAGAGAUAGCGGGGUGCCUUCGGGAACCGAGAGACAGGUGCUGCAUGGCUGUCGU
rnacentral:rRNA from 1 species